UACCGGGCGCGUCUCAGGGGUACCAAGGCGGGCACAAAGGGCUAAGAAAGCAAAUUUUGACGGAGAUAUGUCUCCUGCUUUCCCUGCCUUCAAUAAUUCACUACCAAUUUUGUCCCAAAAAGCCAAAUCACUGAGAUUUUCAGUGGACACGUCAGGGAAGUGAAGGAAAAGCCA